CUGAUUUUCCCUGCAAGGAUUGUCUUAUUUUAAACUUCAAAUUUAGUUGCCUUACUUUAUGUAAGGCAAUUUUGAAUGGGUUUUGAAGUGCAGCUGAAGACUAUUCAUACCUUUCUAAACCUAGAAGGCAGGAGUAGUGAACUAACGAUGGGAAGGUAUCUUAUCUAAGAGGACUACAGGUCUUAACAGCAGCACACAGGGAACUCUCUUUCUUUUGAAAUGUUGCUAGCCAACAUUUAAUAGAAACUUCAGGGUGUAUCCCAGCCUUUCCAGCAUAAGGGGAAAGAGGGCUUGUCAAUGGGGAAUGUCUAAUGUGGAGAACAUGUAGGAGACAGAUGCACCGAGAUACAAAGCCAGCCAUGAACUUGCUGCACAGAGGCCAGAGUGACUGAUUUUCCUUUUGGUUACCCCUCAUUUUCAGAACCAUCUUAUGUAAAACACCC